rnacentral:rRNA from 1 species
AGAUUGAACGCUGGCGGCAGGCCUAACACAUGCAAGUCGAGCGGCAGCACGGGUACUUGUACCUGGUGGCGAGCGGCGGACGGGUGAGUAAUGCCUAGGAAUCUGCCUGGUAGUGGGGGAUAACGCUCGGAAACGGACGCUAAUACCGCAUACGUCCUACGGGAGAAAGCAGGGGACCUUCGGGCCUUGCGCUAUCAGAUGAGCCUAGGUCGGAUUAGCUAGUUGGUGAGGUAAUGGCUCACCAAGGCGACGAUCCGUAACUGGUCUGAGAGGAUGAUCAGUCACACUGGAACUGAG